rnacentral:rRNA from 1 species
GAUGAACGCUGGCGGCGUGCCUAAUACAUGCAAGUCGAGCGAACGGACGAGAAGCUUGCUUCUCUGAUGUUAGCGGCGGACGGGUGAGUAACACGUGGAUAACCUACCUAUAAGACUGGGAUAACUUCGGGAAACCGGAGCUAAUACCGGAUAAUAUUUUGAACCGCAUGGUUCAAAAGUGAAAGACGGUCUUGCUGUCACUUAUAGAUGGAUCCGCGCUGCAUUAGCUAGUUGAUAAGGUAACGGCUUACCAAGGCAACGAUGCAUAGCCGACCUGAGAGGGUGAUCGGCCACACUGGAACUGAGACACGGUCCAGACUCCUAUGGGAGGCAGCAGUAGGGAAUCUUCCGCAAUGGGCGAAAGCCUGACGGAGCAACGCCGCGUGAGUGAUGAAGGUCUUCGGAUCGUAAAACUCUGUUAUUAGGGAAGAACAUAUGUGUAAGUAACUGUGCACAUCUUGACGGUACCUAAUCAGAAAGCCACGGCUAACUACGUG